AGGGUUCCUGCUCUAACCAAUUAAGGGCUAGUGCUUCUGAGGGUAACAAUGAAUUAAGAUGAGCUGAUUAAACCCUUCUCGCAAUAGAGUAUGGUAUAUGUUUCCAGAGCGCCCUACCAACCGGACACCAAGCCCUUCAUAAAACCUAUGCGGGCAAUGUGAACAAUCAGAUGUCACACACCAAGAACAUAUUCAAGAAUUGCGUUCACGUAAUAGCAACCCAUGAACCAACGGUUACCUCCCUUGUAUUAGCUCUGCCUUGAGUUGCAG
rnacentral:lncRNA from 1 species